GUGAGCUGAUGGGGGUUUGGGGAGGGGCGGCGGUUGGGGUCAGCUUAUGUCACGCCGAAGGAACGGUCGUAGGUGUACGAUUCGGUUACUGCAGUGUUGGGUGGACACCUCCGCCUGGUUCCCAAACACUUCUGUCACCCCAGCAGGAAACCCCGUCCCUCCCUCCUCCCUCGGGCCCCAGCCCGGAAACCCCUGUUCUCCUCUCCAUGCCUAGAGACGUUCCGCGUGAAUGGGAUCACACGCUAGAUCCCUCCGUGGCUGGUCUCGUGCAUGUGGCUUUGUUUUCACGGGUUAUUCGUGAUGUGCAGGGGUCCGUACUGCGUUCCUUUCUGUGGCUGAACGGGACUCCCUGGUGUGGCCAGAGCCCACGUGGCCUGUCCCCCCGCUGACGGCCUUCGGAGCUUGGACCCGAGUCCUUGCUCACAUAUGUCUCCUUAGUCUUCUGGGGGCGUGGGGUAGACCUAGGAAUGGGCUGGCCAGCUCCUAGAGUACCCGUCUUUGAGGAACCUGAUCGAUGUCUUAAUGACCCAGCCUAGAGCUGUUCUCACGUGUCUGUGCUGAGUGGCACAGGGGCUUGGGCACCAGGCUGGGGACAGGUGGCUCUGGGUUGGGAUGUAAGUGGUGCCCUUAGCUUGCUGUGUGACCUCUGGUGAGUCACUUGCCCUCUCUGUUUACAUACCCCGACCCCUGCCAGGAACCUGCCUAUCCCGGGACGGCACAGGCAGCACCGAGGGAGAUGGUGUCUGCGCGCCUGGUCGUGAAGUGUACAUUCAGCGGGCGCUCUGCUACCUUCCGGGGCUGGAAUCUGUUCUCCCCGGAGCCUGUUCCCACCCACUCAAUCCACGGAGGCUCCGCGAGCUCCAGCUGCCGUCAGCAGAGAUGCUACAGUCCGGGCGCAGUGCGCAGGCCGGUGCACAGGACGUGUGGCAGACGUGUAACACGCCCAGCUCGUGGGGUUCCUCAGCUAUACCCCAAGGAGCCUCAGCCCCAAGAAUCUUUGUAAAACUGUGGCACUGAUGGGAGCAGCACUGGCUUCGGGGGUGCUUGUGGAUGCUGCGGGCAGGACCCGGGACAUGCCACUCUCAAGAGCGGAGAGGCUGCUGCAGGGACGUGCUGCUGGGAGGCUGGCCGCUCCGGGUGCCCCCGUGGCCCCAGAACUCCCACCAGGCCCCACCGACGCACUGUUGCCCUGGCUGAGGACCUCUCUCUUUCCUGGUCCCUUGGGAUUCCUGUAUCUGCUGUCUGCUUCCAGGCCAGGGAGAGUGGGGAUGUUGAAGAGGUUCCAGAACAGGACUUGAAAUAAUAUGUUUCGGCUUGACUGCAGGAGGCCUGGAGGCUAAGUCAGCACCGGGCAGGGCUGGGCCCCCAUCGCCCAGGCUCUGGAGAGCAGGACUGCGCCCGUCGUCACAGCAGCGGAGUGAACUGGCUCCGCCGAGUUCUGCGAGUCCUUGUCGUGAACCACUGGGCCUGAGGGGAGCGCGUGGGGCCUCCCAGGACUUUGGAGCGGGCACGGCCUUGUCUGUCAGACACGCACCUCAGGUUGAUCAGCUCCGUGUUCCAGGACCUGCUGCACACCCACUUCCGUCUACCUGGCACCAGGAUCCUGGAGAGGGCCUCAGGCUGACUCAGCGUGUCCACCUUGACGUGCCGGAACGCCUUGCACACGGGGCUCUGCAGGACGCUCCGGGAAGGGACGGCCUGGGCCCGCGGCCUGCUUACCGCCUCCACUCCUCCUCCGUCUCCCA